UGUUUAUACCUGUGCAAGACUCAGGAAGGUAGAGACAGCCCACGUGUGUCCCAUAUGCCCUUUUCGGGAGGCUGGGCCCGCUGGGGGCAGUGUGCAUUCUCUCUGCUGCUCUCUCAGUCCUCAACAGAUGGGACCCUUUAGCCAGAGGGGGAACUCUCAGGGAGGACAGCAUGGUUCCUGAUAUGGGCAAAAGGCUGGAUACCCAUACCUGUUUCAUAACCGCCUCUGGCUGUAAACCUGAACACCGAUGCUUGACCUGUUAGACUUCUCUAAACUGAAAGUAAUAAAAACUCCUCACAGUCUGCAGUGUCAAAGAGAAUGGGGUGCCAUUCUCCAGUGGGAGAAGUCCCACAUUCCUAAUGUGGCAGAGGGAUCUACCUUUCUAAGGAUGAACUGCUAGCCUUUCCAAGAUGGAAGAGUUCUGAUGUAGUAACUCUAUUGUAGUUCGAAAUAAUUUCUCAUUUCCAUUAUGAUUUCCUCUUCAAUAAUGCAAAAUUCAAAGUUUAUUUCUUACCUUCCAAACAUAUUUUCUAGUUGUCUUUUUGUUAUUGAUUUCUACCUUAAUUGUUUUUGGAAAUUGUAUGCUCUAUUUCUAUUCCUUUAGUGGUUUCCCUAGAAAUUACAACAUGAAUAUUUAAUUAAUCAAAGUCUAAAAGUAAUCAAUACCUGUAUUGUCUUCUUAGACAAUAAAGGCCCUUAGAACACUUUAACCUCAAAUAUGUCAUUCUUGUUUGGACAGGUGGUAUUAUUGUAUGAGUUCAUUAACCCAAAGGAUAUUACUAUUGUUAUUUUAUAAAAAUGUCUUCUUAGAUUUAUCUAUGUACUUACCACUUUAUUUGGCUCUUUAUUUCUUUUGUCUUCUUGAGCAUUCUAUCUAGAAGUACUUUUCUUGUGCUCGAAGUAUACUCUUUAGAAUUUCCUUUACUGAAGAUUUAUGUGUGGCGAAGUGUCUCUGUUUUUGCUUUUCUUAAAAUAUCUUUAUUAUGCUUUUAUUCUUGAACAAUUACUAGUUGUAGAAUUCCUGUUGGCAAAUAUUCUCUUUUAGCAUGUUAAAGAUAUAAUUCCACUAUCUUCUGGCUUCCAAUGUUGCUGUUGAGAAGCUAACUGCCUGUUACUUAUUUUUAGUUAAUUUCUUUCUUAUCUCUGGAAGCUUUUAUGAUUUUUAAAAUUUAUUGUUUUCUUUGCAGUGCUGCUCUUUCAGUCUGAAUUUCUU